UGGGGGAUAUUGCACAAUGGGGGAAACCCUGAUGCAGCGACGCCGCGUGAGUGAAGAAGUAUUUCGGUAUGUAAAGCUCUAUCAGCAGGGAAGAAAAAAGACGGUACCUGACUAAGAAGCCCCGGCUAACUACGUGCCAGCAGCCGCGGUAAUACGUAGGGGGCAAGCGUUAUCCGGAUUUACUGGGUGUAAAGGGAGCGUAGACGGCAAUACAAGUCGGAAGUGAAAUACCCGGGCUCAACCUGGGAACUGCUUUGGAAACUGUAUGGCUGGAGUGCUGGAGAGGUAAGCGGAAUUCCUAGUGUAGCGGUGAAAUGCGUAGAUAUUAGGAGGAACACCAGUGGCGAAGGCGGCUUACUGGACAGUAACUGACGUUGAGGCUCGAAAGCGUGGGGAGCAAACAGG
rnacentral:rRNA from 1 species